UGAAUCUAGAAGGGAUGCAACGGUUGC
rnacentral:sRNA from 1 species